rnacentral:rRNA from 1 species
UACAGAGGGGGCGAGCGUUGUUCGGAAUUACUGGGCGUAAAGGGCGCGCAGGCGGCCACCGCAAGUCGACUGUGAAAUCUCCGGGCUUAACCCGGAAAGGUCAGCCGAUACUGCGGGGCUAGAGUGCAGAAGGGGCAACUGGAAUUCUCGGUGUAGCGGUGAAAUGCGUAGAUAUCGAGAGGAACACCUGCGGCGAAGGCGGGUUGCUGGGCUGACACUGACGCUGAGACGCGAAAGCGUGGGGAGCGAACAGG